AUCCCAUGGUGUGGACACUUUCGCAGCAUAUUUUUGAACCGAUUCCAAGUUUUAUCGAAAUUUUCAAAGUCGCCUUGGCGAAAAACAGAGAUAUCGUGCUUGAGCUU
rnacentral:snoRNA from 1 species